rnacentral:rRNA from 1 species
AUUGAACGCUGGCGGCAGGCCUAACACAUGCAAGUCGAACGGUAGCACAGAGAGCUUGCUCUCGGGUGACGAGUGGCGGACGGGUGAGUAAUGUCUGGGAAACUGCCCGAUGGAGGGGGAUAACUACUGGAAACGGUAGCUAAUACCGCAUAACGUCGCAAGACCAAAGUGGGGGACCUUCGGGCCUCACACCAUCGGAUGUGCCCAGAUGGGAUUAGCUAGUAGGUGGGGUAAUGGCUCACCUAGGCGACGAUCCCUAGCUGGUCUGAGAGGAUGACCAGCCCCACUGGAACUGAGACACGGUCCAGACUCCUACGGGAGGCAGCAGUGGGGAAUAUUGCACAACGGGCGCAAGCCUGAGGCAGCCAUGCCGCGUGUAUGAAGAAGGCCUUCGGGUUGUAAAGUACUUUCAGCGGGGAGGAAGGCGGUGAAGUUAAUAGCUUCACCGAUUGACGUUACCCGCAGAAGAAGCACCGGCUAACUCCGUGCCAGCCGCCGCAGUAA